UGUCAUGCCAUUCAGUUGGUGUGGCGGGGAAUCAGGACUGUUACUUUGAAAAAAUUAGAGUGUUUAAAGCAGGCUUGCGCUUGAAUACAUUAGCAUGGAAUAAUGAAAUAGGACGUUUGACCCUAUUUUGUUGGUUUCUAGGAUCGACGUAAUGAUUAAUAGGGAUAGUUGGGGGCAUUAGUAUUCAAUUGUCAGAGGUGAAAUUCUUGGAUUUAUUGAAGACUAACUACUGCGAAAGCAUUUGCCAAGGAUGUUUUCAUUAAUCAAGAACGAAAGUUAGGGGAUCGAAGACGAUCAGAUACCGUCGUAGUCUUAACCAUAAACUAUGCCGACUAGGGAUCGGAUGAUGUUAAUUUUUUAAUGACUCAUUCGGCGCCUUACGGGAAACCAAAGUGUUUGGGUUCCGGGGGGAGUAUGGUCGCAAGGCUGAAACUUAAAGGAAUUGACGGAAGGGCACCACCAGGCGUGGAGCCUGCG
rnacentral:rRNA from 1 species